AAGACUAUACUUUCAGGAUCAUUUCUAUAGCUUGUUACUAGAGAAGUUUUUCUGAAAGCUUAGAGCACCCAGGAAAGGGUGGAAUGGGAGGUGGUAUGAAUGGU
rnacentral:snoRNA from 1 species